ACGAUGCGAACCCUUGAAUCAAUUCUUAGCAACCAGCAAAGCAAAAAAAUCAAGAUCUGACGGAUACACAGUUUCUGCAGACAGGCCAGACUUCAUGUCAUGAUAUCUCUGCAAGGACACGAUACUUCACGCCAAGGCAGGCACAAGGAGUCGGCGAAUGUAUAAGUUUCCUGAAACAGGCGAUAAAAUCCCAGGAUGGGUGUAAAAAAAUGGCAAGGCACAGCCAUACCGGGAAAAAGAGCUACCUGACAAAACCGGAUGCGAACAGAAAAGCCAGACCGCGCCGUCUUACAAGCAGCAGCUGGGGGCAAGAAGCGAGAACCACCCGUGGCUUCGAUGAGCGUAAUAAAGGCGAAAGGAGUCAAGUACCCGUGCUCAAAGCCAAUAUACGGGCUCACGUAUGCUGCCCAGCAGCAGAGAAAUUGGUAAUCGGCUUCACGACUACCAGGCUGGCAAGGGUGCUGCCGCUAACAGGUUCGCUGACCUGCCUGCUGAAGUAGAUGUCUAGGAUAACGCGAGUCAAGGCCGAGGGGUUUGAAAGUUUUGUUGGGGAAUGUUCAUGGGUUGCUGGAGGCAGGUGUUUCCAAGCUUGAGCGUGCUGGAAUCAAGUCUUUUGUGACUAGUCAUUCUACUGAAGCACACGUAACGGAUGUAGCGCCAUACACCGACGCGCCCCUUGAAGGUUUUCGCCUGAUGUGGUUGCAAAGGUCGGGAGAUGCCAUACGUGCUGACUACGGUCCAUUCUGUGUAUGUCUGUGUGUGUGCGUCACAUGGUUUUAGGGUGCAUACCCCGUACCUGCAAACCUCCCAAUACGAGCCGAGGGCUCAAGGGCUGCUCAAGGUCCAUUCUGAACGGAGUCAACGAGCCGGCAGGUGAGCGGCCAAGAGGAGUACAAGAAAGGUAUAUGGAAGACUGGCCGCGAGCGGAAUCCAGAUAGAGUUCACCGAGCUGUCCUGGCGACCUAAUCGC
rnacentral:lncRNA from 1 species